rnacentral:tRNA from 1 species
GGCGCUGUGGCAUAGUGGGUUAAUGCCCUGGCCUGAAGCGCCGGCAUCCCAUAUGGAUGCCGGCCGGUUCAAGACCCGGCUGCUCCA